rnacentral:rRNA from 1 species
AUUGAACGCUGGCGGCAUGCCUUACACAUGCAAGUCGAACGGUAACAGGUCUUCGGAUGCUGACGAGUGGCGAACGGGUGAGUAAUAUAUCGGAACGUGCCCAGUCGUGGGGGAUAACGCAGCGAAAGCUGUGCUAAUACCGCAUACGAUCUAUGGAUGAAAGCGGGGGAUCGCAAGACCUCGCGCGAUUGGAGCGGCCGAUAUCAGAUUAGGUAGUUGGUGGGGUAAAAGGCCCACCAAGCCAACGAUCUGUAGCUGGUCUGAGAGGACGACCAGCCACACUGGAACUGAGACACGGUCCAGACUCCUACGGGAGGCAGCAGUGGGGAAUUUUGGACAAUGGGCGCAAGCCUGAUCCAGCAAUGCCGCGUGCAGGAUGAAGGCCUUCGGGUUGUAAACUGCUUUUGUACGGAACGAAAAGGCUCUGGUUAAUACCUGGGGCUCAUGACGGUACCGUAAGAAUAAGCACCGGCUAACUACGUG